UACGUAGGAGACGAGCGUUGUCCGGAAUCACUGGGCGUAAAGCGCGUGUAGGCGGGUCCGCAAGUCUGCUGUGAAAGUUCCUGGCUUAACCGGGAAAUGUCGGUGGAAACUGCGAACCUGGAGGACGGUAGAGGUAGGUAGAAUUCCCGGUGUAGUGGUGAAAUGCGUAGAGAUCGGGAGGAAUACCUGUGGCGAAGGCGGCCUACUGGGCCGGACCUGACGCUGAGACGCGAAGGCGUGGGGAGCGAACGGG
rnacentral:rRNA from 1 species